rnacentral:rRNA from 1 species
UGAAACUCGCCUACAUGAAGCUGGAGUUACUAGUAAUCGCAGAUCAGAAUGCUGCGGUGAAUGCGUUCCCGGGUCUUGUACACACCGCCCGUCACACCACGGGAGUUGGAGACGCCCGAAGCCGAUUCUCUAACCUUUUGGAAGAAGUCGUCGAAGGUGGAAUCAAUAACUGGGGUGAAGUCGUAACAAGGUAGCCGUAUCGGAAGGUGCGGCUGGAUCACCUCCUUUCUAAGGA